UUUUCNGCAAGAUCGUGCCAGCAGCCGCGGUAAUACAUAUGUCGCAAGCGUUAUCCGGAUUUAUUGGGCGUAAAGCGCGUCUAGGCGGUUUACUAAGUCUGAUGUGAAAAUGCGGGGCUCAACUCCGUAUUGCGUUGGAAACUGGUAGACUAGAGUACUGGAGAGGUGGGCGGAACUACNAGUGUAGAGGUGGAAUUCGUAGAUAUUUGUAGGAAUGCCGAUAGAGAAGUCAGCUCACUGGACAGAUACUGACGCUAAAGCGCGAAAGCGCGGGGAGCAAACAGGAUUAGAUACCCUGGUAGUCCACGCCGUAAACGAUGAUCACUAGGUGUUGGGAGUCAAAUCUCAGCGCCCAAGCUAACGCGAUAAGUGAUCCCCCUGGGGAGUACGUACGCAAGUAUGAAACUCAAAGGAAUUGACGGGGACCCGCACAAGCGGCGGAGCAUGUGGUUUAAUUCGACGCAACGCGAGGAACCUUACCAGCGUUUGACAUCCNAGGAAUUCUACAGAGAUGUGGAAGUGCCCUUUCGGGGGAAUCUAGUGACAGGUGGUGCAUGGCUGUCGUCNGCUCGUGUCGUGAGAUGUUGGGUUAAGUCCCGCAACNAGCGCAACCCCUUUCCUAUGUUACCAUCAUUAAGUUGGGGACUCNUGGGAUACUGCCUGCGAUGAGCAGGAGGAAGGUGGGGNAUGACNUCNAGUCAUCAUGCCCCUUAUACGCUGGGCUAC
rnacentral:rRNA from 1 species